rnacentral:ribozyme from 1 species
UGGAUCCACUUGCUAUGGCUGAGAAAAUGUAUCUUCAC